AGCAGCCGCCGCGGUAAUACGAAGGGUGCAAGCGUUAAUCGGAAUUACUGGGCGUAAAGCGCACGUAGGCGGCUUGGUAAGUUAGAGGUGAAAGCCUGGAGCUCAACUCCAGAAUUGCCUUUAAGACUGCCGAGCUAGCAGGUGAGAGAGGUAAGUGGAAUUCCGAGUGUAGAGGUGAAAUUCGUAGAUAUUCGGAAGAACACCAGUGGCGAAGGCGGCUUACUGGCUCAUACUGGACGCUGAGGUGCGAAAGCGUGGGGAGCAAACAGGAUUAGAUACCCCAGUAGUCCCUGUCUCUUAUAC
rnacentral:rRNA from 1 species